CGGCAUUAACAGUCCAAUGCAUGUGUACGGAUUCAGCAGGAAGAGCUACCACUAAGUGUCUUCAAAGAUGGCCCAUGUUACCUGUAUGAGAGAGGAUGUGCUCUGAAGUAGGUCCAAAGGAAUUCAAGUUCAGUGCAGAUUAAACCAUGUCUCUAACAGAACAGUUCCUGUCAUGUAGGAGGUGAUUGUUCUGGCUGCUAUUCCCUGAGUUUAGCACCACUCCUCAACCCUGCACCCUCAUGCUUUCCCUUGGACCAAAGGGCUGGGAAGCCUGAACGUUACAGUCUCAGAAUUGCAUGUCAGCAGAGUCAAAGCUCAUGUCCUUGCAACUAGAGUGACUUGUGUUGGGGAUGUGAAAGGAGACAUGGCUGACUAACACCCGUUGUCACCGGUGCUACCAUUUUUACAUUGCUCUAUGAUCUCAUAUUUUCCGAGUGGGUCAAUGUUUAAUAAUAUUUGUUAAACAGAGGAAACAAGCGCUCUAUAUAAUGAGAUUAUUGUCCCUUCCUCACAGUUACAGAAGAGAAGCUCCCAGAGAUGAGGCAGUAGAAAAUCUCCUGUCCAGGUAUCAGCUGUCAGGGUCGAGUUUUGAUCCCCAGACUGUUUCCCAUCCAGGCGCUUUAGCUUUUUGCACUCAGCUGUGCCUUCAGUAAU
rnacentral:lncRNA from 1 species